rnacentral:rRNA from 1 species
UACGUAGGUGGCAAGCGUUGUCCGGAUUUAUUGGGUUUAAAGGGUGCGUAGGCGGCUUUGUAAGUCAGUGGUGAAAUAUGGCAGCUCAACUGUCAAGGUGCCAUUGAUACUGCGGAGCUUGAGUACAGAUGAGGUAGGCGGAAUUGACGGUGUAGCGGUGAAAUGCUUAGAUAUCGUCAAGAACACCUAUAGCGAAGGCAGCUUACUAGGCUGUAACUGACGCUGAGGCACCAAAGUGUGGGGAUCAAACAGU